rnacentral:rRNA from 1 species
CAAGGGGGGCUAAUUGGCUUAUACAUGGUGAGUCUAGCCGACAGAUGGGAGCUUGCUCCCUGAUGUUAGCGGCGGACGGGUGAGUAACACGUGGGUAACCUGCCUGUAAGACUGGGAUAACUCCGGGAAACCGGGGCUAAUACCGGAUGCUUGUUUGAACCGCAUGGUUCAAACAUAAAAGGUGGCUUCGGCUACCACUUACAGAUGGACCCGCGGCGCAUUAGCUAGUUGGUGAGGUAACGGCUCACCAAGGCAACGAUGCGUAGCCGACCUGAGAGGGUGAUCGGCCACACUGGGACUGAGACACGGCCCAGACUCCUACGGGAGGCAGCAGUAGGGAAUCUUCCGCAAUGGACGAAAGUCUGACGGAGCAACGCCGCGUGAGUGAUGAAGGUUUUCGGAUCGUAAAGCUCUGUUGUUAGGGAAGAACAAGUACCGUUCGAAUAGGGCGGUACCUUGACGGUACCUAACCAGAAAGCCACGGCUAACUACGUGCCAGCAGCCGCGGUAAUACGUAGGUGGCAAGCGUUGUCCGGAAUUAUUGGGCGUAAAGGGCUCGCAGGCGGUUCCUUAAGUCUGAUGUGAAAGCCCCCGGCUCAACCGGGGAGGGUCAUUGGAAACUGGGGAACUUGAGUGCAGAAGAGGAGAGUGGAAUUCCACGUGUAGCGGUGAAAUGCGUAGAGAUGUGGAGGAACACCAGUGGCGAAGGCGACUCUCUGGUCUGUAACUGACGCUGAGGAGCGAAAGCGUGGGGAGCGAACAGGAUUAGAUACCCUGGUAGUCCACGCCGUAAACGAUGAGUGCUAAGUGUUAGGGGGUUCCGUCCCCUUAGUGCUGGAGCUAACGCAUUAAGCACUCCCCCUGGGGAGUACGGUCGC